ACUCCUACGGGAGGCAGCAGUAGGGAAUCUUCCGCAAUGGACGAAAGUCUGACGGAGCAACGCCGCGUGAGCGAUGAAGGCCUUCGGGUCGUAAAGCUCUGUUGUUAGGGAAGAACAAGUAUCGGAGUAACUGCCGGUACAUUGACGGUACCUAACCAGAAAGCCACGGCUAACUACGUGCCAGCAGCCGCGGUAAU
rnacentral:rRNA from 1 species